CCUACGGGCGGCAGCAGUGGGGAAUAUUGGGCAAUGGGCGCAAGCCUGACCCAGCGACGCCGCGUGAAGGAAGAAGGCUUUCGGGUUGUAAACUUCUUUCAGGAGGGAAGAGCAGAAGACGGUACCCCUUGAAUAAGCCACGGCUAACUACGGGCCAGCAGCCGCGGUAAUACGUAGGUGGCCAGCGUUGUCCGGAUUUACUGGGUGUAAAGGGCGUGCAGGCGGGAAGGCCAGUCAGAUGUGAAAUGCCGCGGCUCAACCGCGGAACUGCUUUUGAAACUGUUUGUCUUGAGUACCGGAGAGGUCAUCGGAAUUCCUUGUGUAGCGGUGAAAUGCGUAGAUAUAAGGAAGAACACCAGUGGCGAAGGCGGAUGACUGGACGGCAACUGACGGUGAGGCGCGAAAGCGUGGGGAGCAAACAGGAUUAGAUACCCGUGUAGUC
rnacentral:rRNA from 1 species